GCCUCGAUAGCAUAGUGGUAAUGCGACUGCGAGUCUUACACAUAUGUGUGAAUGGGUUCCCGCGGCCGACUCUAGUUCGACUCUAGCUCGGGGUA